GACCAACCCUCUAGCAUUCAACCUUAACUUCCACCCCACGCUUAUCACUAGCCUAAAAACGCAACUAAAUCAUUCUUCCCCCCCAGUACGGGCGACAGAAAGGGAUAUUUACAGCCACAAAGAAAGUACCGCAAGGGACUCUUGAAAGAACAAUGAAACAUCUUAAAAGACAAGAACAGCAGAGCUUAACACUCGUACCUUUUGCAUCAUGGAUUAACUAGCCUCCCCAAGCAAAGAGAACUUUAGUUUGGUACCCCGAAACCAGGCGAGCUACUUCAAGUCAGCCCUCUGG
rnacentral:rRNA from 1 species